CAUGCAAGUCGAGCGAGAUGUGUUUGGUGCUUGCAUUGGACACGGAAAGCGGCGAAAGGGAGAGUAACGCGUAGAAUAUCUACCCACAGGACUGGGAUAGCGUCGGGAAACUGGCGGUAAUACCGGAUAAUGUCCCUGGACCAAAGGUGUGAUUCCGCCUGUGGAUGAUUCUGCGUCCUAUUAGCUUGUUGGCGGGGUAACGGCCCACCAAGGCGACGAUGGGUAGCGGGCGUGAGAGCGUGGCCCGUCUCACUGGGACUGAGACACUGCCCAGACACCUACGGGUGGCUGCAGUCGAGAAUAUUCGGCAAUGGGCGAAAGCCUGACCGAGCGACGCCGCGUGCGGGAUGAAGGCCUUCGGGUUGUAAACCGCUGUUGUCGGGGAUGAAAUCUGCGGGGGCUAUCCCCCGUAGUUGACAGAUCCGAUGAGGAGGUCCGGGCUAAGUUCGUGCCAGCAGCCGCGGUAAUACGAACCGGACAAACGUUAUUCGGAAUCACUGGGCUUAAAGAGUGCGUAGGCGGCUUGUCAAGUUGGGUGUGAAAUCCCUCGGCUCAACCGAGGAACUGCGCCCAAAACUGAUAAGCUUGAGGGAGACAGGGGUGAGCGGAACUGAUGGUGGAGCGGUGAAAUGCGUUGAUAUCAUCAGGAACACCGGUGGCGAAGGCGGCUCACUGGGUCUCUUCUGACGCUGAGGCACGAAAGCUAGGGUAGCGAACGGGAUUAGAUACCCCGGUAGUCCUAGCUGUAAACGAUGAGCACUAGAUCGAGGGGACUCCCACAUCCUCUCGGUCGUAG
rnacentral:rRNA from 1 species